GAUGAACGCUGGCGGCGUGCUUAACACAUGCAAGUCGAACGGAAAGGCGCUGCUUUUGUGGGGUGCUCGAGUGGCGAACGGGUGAGUAACACGUGAGUAACCUGUCCUUGACUUUGGGAUAACUUCAGGAGACUGGGGCUAAUACCGGAUAGGAGCUCCUGCUGCAUGGUGGGGGUUGGAAAGUUUCGGCGGUUGGGGAUGGUCUCGCGGCUUAUCAGCUUGUUGGUGGGGUAGUGGAUUACCAAGGGUUUGACGGGUAGCCUGCCUGGGAGGGUGUCCAGGGACAUUGGGACUAAGAGACGCAGCAGACUCCAACGGGAGGCAACGGUGGGGAGUAUUGCGGAGUAGGGGGGCGCCUGUGACAACGACGUCGCGUGCGUAAUAACGGGUUUCGGGUUGUGAACAGCUGUGGCAGGAGACAAGGAGUGAGUGACGGUAAUGGGUAAAGAAGCAACGGCUAACUACGUG
rnacentral:rRNA from 1 species